UUAAGCGACUAAGCGUACACGGUGGAUGCCCUGGCAGUCAGAGGCGAUGAAGGACGUGCUAAUCUGCGAUAAGCGUCGGUAAGGUGAUAUGAACCGUUAUAACCGGCGAUUUCCGAAUGGGGAAACCCAGUGUGUUUCGACACACUAUCAUUAACUGAAUCCAUAGGUUAAUGAGGCGAACCGGGGGAACUGAAACAUCUAAGUACCCCGAGGAAAAGAAAUCAACCGAGAUUCCCCCAGUAGCGGCGAGCGAACGGGGAGCAGCCCAGAGCCUGAAUCAGUGUGUGUGUUAGUGGAAGCGUCUGGAAAGGCGCGCGAUACAGGGUGACAGCCCCGUACACAAAAAUGCACAUGCUGUGAGCUCGAUGAGUAGGGCGGGACACGUGGUAUCCUGUCUGAAUAUGGGGGGACCAUCCUCCAAGGCUAAAUACUCCUGACUGACCGAUAGUGAACCAGUACCGUGAGGGAAAGGCGAAAAGAACCCCGGCGAGGGGAGUGAAAAAGAACCUGAAACCGUGUACGUACAAGCAGUGGGAGCACGCUUAGGCGUGUGACUGCGUACCUUUUGUAUAAUGGGUCAGCGACUUAUAUUCUGUAGCAAGGUUAACCGAAUAGGGGAGCCGAAGGGAAACCGAGUCUUAACUGGGCGUUAAGUUGCAGGGUAUAGACCCGAAACCCGGUGAUCUAGCCAUGGGCAGGUUGAAGGUUGGGUAACACUAACUGGAGGACCGAACCGACUAAUGUUGAAAAAUUAGCGGAUGACUUGUGGCUGGGGGUGAAAGGCCAAUCAAACCGGGAGAUAGCUGGUUCUCCCCGAAAGCUAUUUAGGUAGCGCCUCGUGAAUUCAUCUCCGGGGGUAGAGCACUGUUUCGGCAAGGGGGUCAUCCCGACUUACCAACCCGAUGCAAACUGCGAAUACCGGAGAAUGUUAUCACGGGAGACACACGGCGGGUGCUAACGUCCGUCGUGAAGAGGGAAACAACCCAGACCGCCAGCUAAGGUCCCAAAGUCAUGGUUAAGUGGGAAACGAUGUGGGAAGGCCCAGACAGCCAGGAUGUUGGCUUAGAAGCAGCCAUCAUUUAAAGAAAGCGUAAUAGCUCACUGGUCGAGUCGGCCUGCGCGGAAGAUGUAACGGGGCUAAACCAUGCACCGAAGCUGCGGCAGCGACACUAUGUGUUGUUGGGUAGGGGAGCGUUCUGUAAGCCUGUGAAGGUGUGCUGUGAGGCAUGCUGGAGGUAUCAGAAGUGCGAAUGCUGACAUAAGUAACGAUAAAGCGGGUGAAAAGCCCGCUCGCCGGAAGACCAAGGGUUCCUGUCCAACGUUAAUCGGGGCAGGGUGAGUCGACCCCUAAGGCGAGGCCGAAAGGCGUAGUCGAUGGGAAACAGGUUAAUAUUCCUGUACUUGGUGUUACUGCGAAGGGGGGACGGAGAAGGCUAUGUUGGCCGGGCGACGGUUGUCCCGGUUUAAGCGUGUAGGCUGGUUUUCUAGGCAAAUCCGGAAAAUCAAGGCUGAGGCGUGAUGACGAGGCACUACGGUGCUGAAGCAACAAAUGCCCUGCUUCCAGGAAAAGCCUCUAAGCAUCAGGUAACAUCAAAUCGUACCCCAAACCGACACAGGUGGUCAGGUAGAGAAUACCAAGGCGCUUGAGAGAACUCGGGUGAAGGAACUAGGCAAAAUGGUGCCGUAACUUCGGGAGAAGGCACGCUGAUAUGUAGGUGAAGCGACUUGCUCGUGGAGCUGAAAUCAGUCGAAGAUACCAGCUGGCUGCAACUGUUUAUUAAAAACACAGCACUGUGCAAACACGAAAGUGGACGUAUACGGUGUGACGCCUGCCCGGUGCCGGAAGGUUAAUUGAUGGGGUCAGCGCAAGCGAAGCUCUUGAUCGAAGCCCCGGUAAACGGCGGCCGUAACUAUAACGGUCCUAAGGUAGCGAAAUUCCUUGUCGGGUAAGUUCCGACCUGCACGAAUGGCGUAAUGAUGGCCAGGCUGUCUCCACCCGAGACUCAGUGAAAUUGAACUCGCUGUGAAGAUGCAGUGUACCCGCGGCAAGACGGAAAGACCCCGUGAACCUUUACUAUAGCUUGACACUGAACAUUGAGCCUUGAUGUGUAGGAUAGGUGGGAGGCUUUGAAGUGUGGACGCCAGUCUGCAUGGAGCCGACCUUGAAAUACCACCCUUUAAUGUUUGAUGUUCUAACGUUGACCCCUAAUCGGGGUUGCGGACAGUGUCUGGUGGGUAGUUUGACUGGGGCGGUCUCCUCCUAAAGAGUAACGGAGGAGCACGAAGGUUGGCUAAUCCUGGUCGGACAUCAGGAGGUUAGUGCAAUGGCAUAAGCCAGCUUGACUGCGAGCGUGACGGCGCGAGCAGGUGCGAAAGCAGGUCAUAGUGAUCCGGUGGUUCUGAAUGGAAGGGCCAUCGCUCAACGGAUAAAAGGUACUCCGGGGAUAACAGGCUGAUACCGCCCAAGAGUUCAUAUCGACGGCGGUGUUUGGCACCUCGAUGUCGGCUCAUCACAUCCUGGGGCUGAAGUAGGUCCCAAGGGUAUGGCUGUUCGCCAUUUAAAGUGGUACGCGAGCUGGGUUUAGAACGUCGUGAGACAGUUCGGUCCCUAUCUGCCGUGGGCGCUGGAGAACUGAGGGGGGCUGCUCCUAGUACGAGAGGACCGGAGUGGACGCAUCACUGGUGUUCGGGUUGUCAUGCCAAUGGCACUGCCCGGUAGCUAAAUGCGGAAGAGAUAAGUGCUGAAAGCAUCUAAGCACGAAACUUGCCCCGAGAUGAGUUCUCCCUGACUCCUUGAGAGUCCUGAAGGAACGUUGAAGACGACGACGUUGAUAGGCCGGGUGUGUAAGCGCAGCGAUGCGUUGAGCUAACCGGUACUAAUGAACCGUGAGGCUUAACCUU
rnacentral:rRNA from 1 species